ensembl:lncRNA
AUUAUUAUUACCAAGUGCUAAAGGGUGUUUGACAGACUGUGCCUGGAACCAGAGGGAAAAGAUUUUUCAAGGAAUCUCCAUGCUGUUUUCCAUAGUGGCUGUACCAACGUAAUUCCCGUCAACAGUGUAGGAGGGGUCAUUCAUUCUUGAUUUUGUAAUUUUCACACUUGGGAUUCCCAUCUGUCUACAAUCCCAUUUUUACAAAUGAAGACACCAGCUUGAGAGAUAUAGACAUGCACAUGUCUGAGCAUAAAAUAUAAGUGGCCAAAAAGCAUAUGAAAAGCAUCAGUCUUUUCCAAAGAGUCAACUCUUCGCAUGAGGUGGCCAAAGUACUGGAGUUUCAGCUUUAGCAUCAUUCCUUCCAAAGAAAUCCCAGGGCUGAUCUCCUUCAGAAUGGACUGGUUGGAUCUCCUUGAAGUCCAAGGGACUCUCAAGAGUCUUCUCCAAGCAUCACUGACUCGAUGGACAUGAGUCUGAGUGAAAUCCAGGAGUUGGUGAUGGACAGGGAGACCUGGCGUGCUGUGAUUCAUGGGGUCACAAAGAGUUGGACACAACUGAGCGACUGAACUGAACUGACUGACUGAACUGAAGCACUUAAUAAACAUGAGCUGAGGGAUUUCCCUGGUGGCUCAGUGGUAAAGAAUCUGCCUGUCAAUGCAGGAGACAUGGGUUCCAUCUCCGGUCUGAGAGGAUCCCACAUGCCACAGAGCAACUAAUCCUGUGUACCUGCACCACAACUAAGGAGCCUGUGCUCUAGAGCCUGGGAACCACAACUACUGACCCCAUGUGCCUCAGUUACUGAAAUGUGUGCCCUAGAGCCCAUGCUCUGCAACAAGAGAAGCCCCUGAAAUGAGAUGCCUGCUUACCUCAACUAGAGAGUAGCCUGCACAGCA